AUUUUUGCUCGCGGAUGAAUAUUUUGGUGUUACUUUAUCACGUGAUGUUAUUGACAACACAGCCAAUAAAAUCUUGUUUACAACCAGCGUCGUCAGUCACUUGCCGUUUUGUUGAGCGUGGAUGUUCGCGCAUUCGUUUAUGUGAUAGUUGAAGGUUUCGAAGACGUUAAAGAGAUGUGAAAGCGGUUCGGGACUUAGUUGUAUUCGUCUUCUUCGUAAUGCAUAUUUUUGCAAUGGGAGCUUUGUAUUGAUGGAGUGGUGCGAUACAAGAUAAGAUCAUGAAAUCUCGACAUAUCAAGAAGUGCUGUUUUCAACUUGUGCCUUGAUCCCAGGUUGCGGAUAAUUGGGUCGUGGUUUUGGCUUGUGUAUUCAUAGUCUUCACUAUAAAGUCAGCUUAGGAUCUUCCUAUAUUCUUUAAUCAGUGAUUGCCUUCAACCAUGUGUAUUGUGGUCUUGGUCUCGUGAUUUUUGCUGCUUGAAUCUUGUUCAGUGUUGUGAGAAUAUUCAUUGGAAUCCUGUUCAUUACUCUUUGUCUUCUGGUUCACAGAUCUUGUGCGUAGGAGUGCAAUUGAUUCAAUAAUGUUCAGAUCAAUUAGCAGUAUAUCGUGAAGUACAAUAAUUUGGUUUAAUAUGCAAACCACAGGAUUAAACUGCAUUACAGCACAAUCGAAAUGUGAUGGCUAGUGAAUAUCUAUGCUCUUGCAUUAAGUACAAAAGCUAAUGAGGGUGUUUGAUUGCACAUUGGACCUCAUUAACAGGAGGGCAUCAAGGGCAAAUUUGUUUGCCCCACUAAUUUUACAUCUAUGUGUUAAUUGAUUAUACAGUGUAUCAAAGUCUAAAGGGAAGAAGUUUUUUGAUAAAAUGGAAUGAUAUUGUAUAGUUAUCACAUAUUUAUUGCAGAAAGAAGUUUGUUGUAGUGAGAUAAGGAUUGUUGAUACAAGUUUCUCUGAAAUGGAGCGAAACCUUUUUGAUGUGGUAAUGUUCCGACUUUUUUUUUUUUUUGGCAUAAGAUUGGUUUUAAUUGCACAAGCUAACAAGAACAAAGGUAAAUUGUUAUUGUUUAAUUCCCAGUUACCCCGUUUCAGUUAUGUUUCACUGUAUCGAGUGCUUAGCAUGGAUUGAAAUGAAGACAGCAUUGAAAAUGCAUAUACCAAUCCCUAUAUGAAAAUGGCGCAAAGCAAAACAUUGAAGAAUGGAAUGAAUUUUUUGUUGUUUUCAGUUUCAUCUAGAUUCUAGCUAGAAGUAUCAGAUGUAUUAUGCACGGGUUAGCUUGAAUGAAAUAAAAACAAUGAGCGAUGCGGGUGUUUUGACUGAUAAGUAAGGUAAAUUGUUGACUCUGUUUUAUCCGCCUAAUAUAUCUCCGUAACGUAUCAUGUGCAUAACAUAGAUUGAAAUAAAGAUGGCAUUAUUGAAACAAUCAUGAAUGUAAAGUGAAUCCAUAGCAGCUUGGGAAUGGAAAAAAUUGCAAUGAUUAUUAAGGUAAUUGUAGUAAAUUGUGAUGCAUUGAGUUUUUAUCAAUAUGCGAACUCUGAAAGAAACAUGUUCAUUUUUUGUUUAAGCAUUUUUUGUGGUUAUUAGCAUCUUUUAUGCAUGGUGGGGGUACUAAUAUUAUGUUGGCAGGUAAAAGAAUGAGGAUCAAAAUCAAACCUAAUUGUGUGUAAAUCGGUCAUCUUCAGUUAAAGACUAAACAGGAAACAUAAUCCGUCGAUUCACUAAUGAACACCUGAUAGACCGCAAGUAGUUUACCAGAGCAGCAGUUAAUAUUGGCCUGAAAGUUCCCAUGGUUGAUUAGAGAUCUACUACUCACCACUUAGUAUGGUGCACAUUUGCAAGUUGUGAAGCCUUGAUGACAGAAAGGUUUUGUUUAAUGAAGUAUUGUAAGCAGAAUUUGUGAUGUUAGGUCCGUUCAAUUUAUCGAUGACCUAAUGUUUUUUUACUCGUGUGGAUGUGUUAAUGUCGUAUUAGCAGGUGAAACAAACGGGAUCGGAAUCGCUACGUAUUGGCAUAUAUGCAACGAUUUGCAGAAACAAGAAUCAGACUCUAAAAUUUUCAUCUGAUAAAGCUGCGCAAUAUGCUGAUGAACGCCUGUAAUUGUAGUAAAGUUACUAUGGAAAAACAAUCAACCUGAAAUGUCGCACUUUCAAAAUAUUGUUGCUUCUUGGAUUCAUAAUUGCGAAGCGGAGACUUUUCGAAAUUGUGAUUGACAACAGAUACACUGGUUUAAUCGGAUUCGUCUACAUAAAUAUAAAACAAGAAUGAUAGAAAAAAUUUUGCUCCAAAUAUUGAAGUCGAAAUUGCACAAUAAUUGAAUUUUGGUAAAUUCAAUCUUUCCAUAUAAGCUAGUACAACACAAAGUUGAUUUUUCAGAAUCUCCAAUAACUUCGAUUGAAGUAGCUGCGUCGUUUGUAAGAUUUGAAAAGGAGCGAUCGAUCAGCGUUGCAAACAAAAUUCAUGAUGAAUAAUUUAAAUGUGUUCAUGCGAAUUUAUUAUCCUUAAGAUGGAAAGUGGAACAAGCAAAAACAAAAUUAUCAAUUCUUUUUGAAUACAUAAACAAACUUAUAUCUCUUUUUGCGGCGAUUUUUGGUAAGGGGUGACCCUGUAGUUAAUUUAAUAAUGCUCGAUUAAAGAAAUAAUCCAAUAUACUGUACACUUUGUGGUAUUGUCUAAAACUGCCCGAUUGUUAGUUUUUGUAUAUUUUAGUAUAAAAAUAUUUAAAGUCUCUGAUUUUAACAAAACUAUCUAGAAGUUUUCACGAAAUAAUAGCUCCAUAUCGCUCAAUUUUUGCAUACUUGGAUCUUUCAUCAUUGGGGGGAAUUGUUGGGAGUAAACAGAAUUUGUGAUGUUAAGUCCGUUCAAUUUAUCGAUGACCUAAUAUUUUUUUUACUCGUGUGGAUGUGUUAAUGUUGUAUUAUCAGGUGAAACAAACCGGAUCGGAAUCGCUAUGUAUUGGCAUAUAUGCAACGAUUUGCAGAAACAAGAAUCAAACUUUGAAAUUUUCAUCUGAUAGAGCUGCGCAAUAUGCUGAUGAACGCCUGUAAUUGUAGUAAAGUUACUAUGGGAAAACAAUCAACAUGAAAUGUCGCACUUUCAAAAUAUUGUUGCUACUUGGAUUCAUAAUUGUGAAGCGAAGACUUUCGAUAUUGUGAUUGACAACAGAUACACUGGGUUAAUCGGAUUCGUCUACAUAAAUAUAAAACAAGAAUGAUAGAAAAAAUUUUGCUCCAGAUCUUGAAGUCGAAAUUGCACAAUAAUUUGGAUUUUGGUUGAGUGGUUUAAGCAGAUUCAUCCAUGAAGAUCCAUGUGAAUAUGAAACAAGAAUGAUUGAAACUUUUUACCCAUAGGUAAUGGAAUGAACUUUGCUCGCUGAUUCAGAUUUUGGUAAAUUGAUCAUUUUUAUAGGAGAUUGUGCUGCAAACUUGAAUACAAGUAGUGCCUUGGUUCUCACAGUAUUGAAGCUGCAUAGUUGAAAUUGAUCAAUCAAGUAUUGUAAGCAGAAUUUGUGAUGUUAAAUAUGUCCGUUCAAUUUAUCUAUGAUUUAAUAUUUUUUUUUACUUGGGUGGGUGUGUUAAUGUUGUAUUAGCAGGUGAAACAAUCCGGAUCGGAAUCGCUAUGUAUUGGCAUAUAGGCAACGAGAAUCAAACUAAAAAAUUUCAUCGGAUAAAGCUACCCAAUAUGCUGAUGAACGCCCGUAAUUGUAGUCAAGUUACUAUGGGAAAACAAUCAACCAGAAAUGUCGCACUUCAAAUAUUGUUGCUACUUGGAUUCUUAAUUGCGGAGCGGACUUUCGAUAUUGUGAUUGACAACAGAUUCAUUGUUUAAACCGGAUUAGUCUACAUAAUUAUAAAACUCGAUGAUAGAAAAAUUUUUGCUCCAGAUGUUGAAAUCAAUCAUGCACAGUCAUUUGGAUUUUGGUAAAUUCAAUUCCAUAUAGGCUAGUACAACUCAAGUUAAUUUUUCAGAAUCCUCACUAACUUCAGUUCAAGUAGUGGCGGGGUUUGUAGGAUAUGGAAACUUAAAAAGGAUUGGUGGAUCAGCGCUGCAAACUAAAUUCAUGAUGAUUUUUCAAAAUAUGUCCAUGCAAAUUUUUGGUGACAAAAUAUCAUAUCCUAAAGAUGAAAAGUGGAACAAGCAAAAUAAAAUAUCAAGUCUUUUGGAAUGCAUAAACAAUAUUAUAUGUCUCCUUGCUGCGAUUCUUAAUUAAUUGAAUACCUCUGUAGUUAAUAAUGCUCAAUCGAAGAAAUAAUCCAUUUGACUGUAUACUUGUGGAAUUGUCUAAAACUGACGAAAUUUUAGUUCUGGUAGAUUUUUCCAUAUUUGUGCGGGGUCUUAAUGUUGUAUUGACAGGUGGAACUUUGGUGAUCGGAAUUGCUAUGUUGUGGCCUAUGUGCAUUGAUUCGCUGUAGCUGGAAAGGAAUAUGAAAUUCAUCUAAUAAAAUUAUGCAAUACGCUGAUUAACGCCUGUAAUUGUGGUAAAAGUUAUUAUGUAUCUUUUUUCAAUUACAAUUGUGAGCUUUUAUGAUACAUAAUUUUCAUUAAACUUCUGCACUUUCGUGAUUUUCGGGUUGGUUACUUGCAGGUGAACAUAUCAAUGUCGCGAAAGAGCAAAAAACAAAUCAACAUAAGUCCGGCUAUCAAUGAUGAUGAAAACCAAUCCACAAGAAAGCUUGAAUGCGUAUUUUUACAUAUAGUGCUAUUUUGAUUCUUCAUCAUUAGGGAUUGGGUCCACUCAUAUUGUAAUUGGCAAGGAGUUAUCAACCAUAUUCGGUAACGAUGAUGUACAUCAAUAUGAAACAAGGACGAUAGAAAAUUCGUGCUCCAUGGUAAUGCGAUGAAUCUUGUUCGUUGAUUCGGAAUUUGGUAAUUUCCAUUAAUUUUUGUAGGAGCUAGUGCAAAAAGUUGAUCUUUCAGAAUUUUCAUCAUGUUCAAUACCUAGUGCCACGGUUCCGACGGUAUGCAAACUAUAUUGCUGAAAACAAUUGAUCGAUGAAGUAUUGUCCUUCAUUCAACUUUUUGAUGACAUAACAUUUCAUAAAGAUGGAUAGUGCCCAAUACUAUUGAGAAAAAUUGGUAAAUAAUCGGGUCCAGUGGAACAUGAAAAAGAAAUUAUCCAGUAUUUCAUAGAAACUAGAAUGUACUCAUGCGAUAUUGUGGUAAAGUAGCAAAUUUUUGAGAAGCGCCACUCAGUUUACACGAAUAUCCACCAGGGUUUGAAUAUUUCAAUGGUGAGGAAUCAUUUAAACAUCUGUAAUUGGGGUAAUCUUAGAAUAAUAAUUAGAUAAUUUGCAUCAACAGAUUUUUUUCAGUAUUUGAGUCUAAUACGACUUUUUUAAUGGCAAGUUGUGUUUGGAAAUAAGAUUUCGGAACUUUUUUAAAUUACCGGUAUAUGAGAAAAUUAUCGAUCAUGUACAAUUUUAAUGUAGAAGAAUUGCAAUAUUUAUAUCUGCUUUACUGUCAACUGCUUGGUAAUUGUUCAUUUGUUGUAUGCUUUGCCUAUUAUUAUUCGGUUGGGGGUUGUUUAUUAUGUGUUUACAGAGACGACCUUAGCUUUGCUUGACAAAGAAUGAUGGUCAACUAGACAAACUAGAAAUCCAUUUGUUCUGACGAAGUUUGGAUAGAUUUCUCUACUAAAGGUUCAUAUAUUUCAUUGCCACAAUUUUUUUUAUGUUGCCGAGGAACUAAUAUAAGGUUGACAGGGGAAAAAAAUAAAGGACAAUACUUUUUGUAUGCUUUUGGGUUUAUGCUUUGUUGAUGUUGUAGUUGGUUGUGUGGUGUUGAUAAUAUAUUUACAGAGGCGGCAUAAGCUCUGCAUUAAAGGUUUGUCAGGCUGGACAAGUUUGCAAAAAACAUGCUGAUGAGAUAUCAUUUGUCAAUGGAAUAACUUCCAAGAAGUUUUUGGGAAACAAUGAAAAUCAGAAGCGAAUAUUAACAUGAACUGUUAAUGACAACUACAAGCAAUACUAAAAUGUGAUCAUGUGACAAAAUCAUUCAAUUUACUGAUGAGAGACUGUGAUUGUGGUAAAGUUUGAUUGCAUCACCUUUGACUCGUAUUUUUCAUGUAGGAGGAACAAAUCUUAGAGCAGUGAUUUAAUCCUUAGUUUCAAUCGCAAUUCAAAAUUUACAAGUUGAUGUGAUAAAAGUAAUAAAGAAGGGAGUUAAUGCUGGUAAUUAGGUUGAAAAAAACACAAAUUUUAUUGAUGUUAUUAUUAUCUAGUAUUUGCAACGUUAUUGCAUGUUGGAUUUGAUGAUACCGCUAUUUUUUCUUAUGAUUGUGUCUUACAUUUCUCAUUUAAAGUAAUUUUUCUUUACUUGGGUGGGGGUGUUUAUGUUAUGUUAACAGGGGGAAACUUGGUCGCUACUCGGAUUCCUCAUCAUUGAGGAGCGUGUGAUUGUGAUGUUGUAAUUAGCAGGUUGAGUGAUUUAACCGGAUUUGUCCAUGAAGAUUGCUGUUUAUAUUGAACAAGGAUGAUAGAAAUCUUUCGCUCUAUGGUAAAGAAAUACACCUUGCUCGCCGAGGAAUUUGGUAAAUUCAAUAAUUUUUAUAGAAGUUAGUCCAACACAAAGUUGAUUUUUCAGAAUGUCCAUUAACUUCAAUGCAAGUUGUGCCAUGGUUCGCAGGGUAUGAAAACUGGAUAGCUGGAUAAAUUUUAAUCUGAUAAAGUUGUGCAAUACACAGAUGAUGCCUGUAGUUGUACUUGUAGUGAAGUUUAAAGAAAACAAAUCAACAUGAAAGUUUGCGCAUUAAAAAAUACUGUUGCUACCUGGAUUCUCAAUUGUGGAACGGGGGUAUUUCGAUACUGUAAUCGACAGAUUCAAGUGGUUUCGGAUUCGUUUAUGAAAAUCUAGAUAACCACAAACCAAGGACGAUAGAAAAUUGUUUACUCCAGAUAAUGAAGUGGAAUAUGCACGCUAAUUUGGACUUUGGUAAAUUCCGGCGUUUUUAAAAAUAUACUAAAACUUUAAUUGAUUCAAGUAGUGUCACAGUGCACAGAAUAUGGAACUGAAUGGUUAAAAAUGAUCGAUAACUAAGCAAGUGCAUUAAAUAGUAUUUGUGAUGAUUUAUUUCAAAUAUGCCCAUGCAAUUUUUUUGACGACUAAAUAACAUCUCAUGAAGUUGAAAAGUGCCUAAUACUAUCUAGGAUCAUGGUAAAUAGCCAAGUGAAACAUAAAUAAUAUGUCCAGUAUUUUGAAUAUCUCAGUAGCUGAUUCGCAGUUGUAUGUAGAAAUAUCUAGACAUACUAGAGAAAUGAAUCCAAUAUUCGGUUGAUUUCUGGUUUUAUAAAUAUCUGAAAAGGCAUCAUUUUUUUUUUUUUUUGGGUGGGCUGGGUGCUAAUGUCAUGUUUAGCAGGUUGAAUGGUGCAGAUUAUGGCGACACAAAGAUGAAUAUCAUCAAAAUCCAGUAUUAAGAAUAUUUUCAGCAGUACCAACAACACUUACGCACUUUCAAUUGCGGUAAUUUGAACAUAUUUUAUUGUGUAUUCUGUAUCAGACUUUUUUAGUAUUUGAAAGUACGGUAUGUGUAUAAUUUUUUAUAUAAAAGUAUUGCAAUAUUUAUAUCUGUUUCAUUGUCAGUCGCUGGUUGUUUUGAGUUUGUUACAUGUUUUUGGUUGGAGGUUGUUGAUCAUGUAUUCCUAUAGAUAUUAUUAGCUUACUGGAAAAAUGGUUGACUAAACGAUGUCACAAAUUUUUUUUUAUCUGAAGCAUAUGGUUUGCUUCUGAAUUGCUGGUAUUCCAUAUAUUUCUUUAUUAAAGAUUACUUUUUUAUGACA